AUUGAACGCUGGCGGCGUGCUUAACACAUGCAAGUCGAACGAUAAAGUCCUAGUUGGCUUGGCUGGAUUAGUGGCGCACGGGAGUGUAAUAUAUAGUUAAUCUGCCCUAUACAGAGUAACACCAGUAGGAACCGAUUGCUAAUACCUCAUACUCCUAUUUGACAUAGGGUAACUAGGAAACGUCUCUUCGUUGUAGGAUGAGACUUAAUCGUAUCAGCUAGUUGGUAAGGUAAUGGCUUACCAAGGCUAUGACGCGUAACUGGACUGAGAGGAUGAUCAGUCACAUUGGAACGGAGACACGGUCCAAAAUCCUACGGGAGGCAGCAGUAAGGAAUAUUGCGCAAUGGGGGAAACCCUGACGCAGCAUCGCCGCGUGGAGGAUGACACUUUUCGGAGCGUAAACUCCUUUUAUCAGGAAAGAAUAAUGACGGUACCUGAUGAAUAAGCACCGGCUAACUCCGUG
rnacentral:rRNA from 1 species